CUCAGAAUGAACGCUGGCGGCGUGCUUAACACAUGCAAGUCGUGCGAGAACGCUUCAGCUUGCUGAAGCUAGUAAAGUGGCGCACGGGUGAGUAACGCGUGGAUAAUCUACCUUCAAAUUUGGAAUAACAUUGCGAAAGCGAUGCUAAUACCGGAUAAUAUUCGAUCCGCCUCGGCGGUUUGAAUCAAAAGUGGUCUCUACAUGUAAGCUACUGUUUGAAGAUGAGUCCGCGUACCAUUAGCUUGUUGGUGGGGUAAAGGCCUACCAAGGCGACGAUGGUUAGCUGGUCUGAGAGGAUGAUCAGCCACACUGGAACUGACACACGGUCCAGACUCCUACGGGAGGCAGCAGUGAGGAAUUUUGCGCAAUGGGGGAAACCCUGACGCAGCAACGCCGCGUGAGUGAUGAAGGCCUUCGGGUCGUAAAGCUCUGUCAAGUGGGAAGAACCCGCCGAUUUCGAAUAGGACUCGGCGCUGACGGUACCACUGAAGGAAGCACCGGCUAACUCCGUGCCAGCAGCCGCGGUAAUACGGGGGGUGCAAGCGUUAUUCGGAUUCAUUGGGCGUAAAGGGCGCGUAGGCGGCUUUUUAAGUCAGAUGUGAAAGCCCGGGGCUUAACCUCGGAAGUGCAUUUGAAACUAAAAAGCUUGAGUAUGGGAGAGGGAAGUGGAAUUCCUGGUGUAGAGGUGAAAUUCGUAGAUAUCAGGAGGAACACCGGUGGCGAAGGCGACUUCCUGGACCAAUACUGACGCUGAGGCGCGAAGGCGUGGGGAGCAAACAGGAUUAGAUACCCUGGUAGUCCACGCAGUAAAACGUUGAACACUAGGUGUAGCGGGUAUUGACCCCCUGCUGUGCCCGAAGCUAACGCAUUACGUGUUCCGCCUGGGGAGUACGGUCGCAAGAUUAAA
rnacentral:rRNA from 1 species